ensembl:lncRNA
CACAAACUGGCAAAACUGAAGGGACAGAAUGCAGCAACAUGAAGUUAGGACAGACAGGAGGCAGAUGCUGGGAGUUCCUGCAGCUGGCAACAUCUCCGUGGGGAAUCACAGCCUUGGAUUUCUGGUGCUAAUGCCAGAAAGCUGAUCCCACUUUCCUUACAACAGUGAGGAGGAAAGUUCUGUUUCUGGGGCGUUUGCUGUACGUAUGCCCAUGCAAAGAUAACGAUUGGAACCAAAGAGAUUCAAACCAACAUAAAGAUGAACGCACGUUAGAUCAGAAUCUGGGGAAAUGAGUUGAGAAACCUUGUGAAGCAGAGGUAAAACAAAGUUAAUGCGUUUGGUGACAAACCUU